CCUACGGGAGACAGCAGUGGGGGAUAUUGCACAAUGGGGGAAACCCUGAUGCAGCGACGCCGCGUGAGUGAAGAAGUAUUUCGGUAUGUAAAGCUCUAUCAGCAGGGAAGAAAAUGACAGUACCUGACCAAGAAGCCGCGGCUACCUACGAGCCAGCAGCCGCGGUAAUACGUAGGGGGCAAGCGUUAUCCGGAUUUACUGGGUGGAAAGGGAGCGUAGACGGUUGUGUAAGACUGGAGUGAAAGGCCGGGGCCCAACCCCGGGACUGCUUUGGAAACUGUGGAACUUGAGUACAGGAGGGGCAGGCGGAAUUCCUGGUGUAGCGGUGAAAUGCGUAGAUAUUAGGAGGAACACCGGCGGCGAAGGCGGCCUGCUGGACUGAAACUGACGUUGAGGCUCGAAAGCGUGGGGAGCAAACAGGAUUAGAUACCUCUGUAGUC
rnacentral:rRNA from 1 species